AGAACUUAAAAAAAGUGAUAUUGCAGAUUUUCCUUUUAGAGAAAGAGCUACCCAUGCAAAACUAGCAGUUUUAAAGAGGACCAUGGCGAUAACUGAAACGUCAGGAUGAAAACUGCUUUCUGAAUACGGCCUUUGGGUGGAAGUACCAGCUUAAGACCCUUGUCUUAUGGAAAAAAGCUGUUUAUUCUUGGUGGAAGAUGUCCUUGAAGAGUACUAUGAGACCUGGAAUGGUAAGAAGAUUAGUGAUAAUGGGUCUUGGGUGAUGCGAAGAAGAUGGAAACUAGAGUAUCCAAAGAUCUGCCAAGUGAACUGUACAUAAGAGGAAAAAAUAGCUCUGGGAAACACAGUGUAAAUCAAUGAGAAAUCUGGAUUCAAGGCACAAAGUGCAGUUUGUACAUAACCUCUCCAGGAUG